AUUGAACGCUGGCGGCAUGCUUAACACAUGCCAGUCGAACGGAAACGAUGGAGCUUGCUCCAGGCGUCGAGUGGCGGACGGGUGAGUAACGCAUGGGAAUCUGCCUUUUGCUGGGGGAUAACGUAGGGAAACUUACGCUAAUACCGCAUAAGACCUAAGGGUGAAAGCGGGGGACCGAAAGGCCUCGCGGCAAGAGAUGAGCCCAUGUUGGAUUAGCUAGUUGGUGGGGUAAAGGCCUACCAAGGCGACGAUCCAUAGCUGGUCUGAGAGGAUGAUCAGCCACACUGGGACUGAGACACGGCCCAGACUCCUACGGGAGGCAGCAGUGGGGAAUAUUGGACAAUGGGGGGAACCCUGAUCCAGCCAUGCCGCGUGUGUGAAGAAGGCCUUCGGGUUGUAAAGCACUUUCAGUAGGGAGGAAAGGUGCGUAGUUAAUACCUGCGCAAUUGACGUUACCUACAGAAGAAGCACCGGCUAACUCCGUG
rnacentral:rRNA from 1 species